AAUAGCCGCCUUGAGACCAGGA
rnacentral:miRNA from 1 species